GCGCUAUAAAAAGCCUACCGUACCGAUACGAAUGUGUCACUCGUAGACGUCAUCUUGCCUACUCCAGUUCAACUGCUGCUUUUAGAACGUUUGCACACCUUCGAUUGUUCUAAGAUGAAGCUAAUGAUGGCGAUCGUGCUUGCUUGUUUGCUCACCUUGUCCGUGACUAGAGCAUCUCCCGUACCGCAGGGUCGGCCACAGGGACUUGCAGUGACGACAAACACGAAUGCACAGCAGCAAUCGAAUGCUCAAUUGAUGUCUCAAGUACAAAACAGCAAUCAGGGACUGGCUGCUGCCCUUAUCUCGUCUACCUUCGCAAUGGGCCAACAGGUGUUUCAAGCAGUUGGCAGACAGCUGCAAGGAUGGUCUCGACUUUAAAUUAAGAAAAACAAAAAUAUAUUUACGUGUAUCUAGAUCCUUGUCUGCUAAAUUUUCAACCUAACAAAAUGAAGAAUUAUUUAUUUUUAAUACGAAGAAA